rnacentral:tRNA from 1 species
UCUAUAUUGAAUUUCUGAUAUAGAAAUGUGAUAUAUACUAUCUCCAAAUGAUUAAUGACGGCCCGAAUCUUUAUUUUUUUAUAUU